rnacentral:rRNA from 1 species
AUCAGCCUUUUGGGUGUGAUUUUGUGGAACGUGAGGAGUUAAACGCCUUCAUGCCUGCAUAUUCGUGCACUUUGGGUGUACUUGCCCGUGUGGUUGGUUAACAUCAAUUUUGGUUAUCAAAAAAUGGCUGGAGGAAUGUAGCUUCGAUCUUGUAUUGAAGUGUUAUAGCCUUUGGUAGAUGUGGUGAUCGAGAUUGAGGAUUGCAACGGAUACCCUUCGGGGCUACCUGUCUGGUCUCUGAUCGUUGCUCUGGUGCCGAAAGCUUGCUUACGGUUAUCAAAGUCGAUGGUCAAUAGGUUAGAACGGGUUAAAUUCGUUAAGGAUGUUGACGUAAUGGCUUU